UUUUUCAGCUCGUUCGUAGCAGCUACAUCGUAGCGUUGCUACGCGCUACGCGGCUACGAGGCAGGGCAGCUCAACUGAGAUCAAAGUCGGCUAACCAGCCAGGCCUGCGCCGGUAACGGCCUAUCCGUCAUAACGCGCAAUCCCAGUAACACCGUGUUCCGUUCCUUGCGACGAUCGCAUCAGCAGUAAACGCGGCCCGAUUAAGCCCACGAUAUCGGAACGAAAUAGGCUAAGGAGGUUGCUCGUGACCGCCUCCCGCCGCCUACCGACUGCCGACUCUACUCACGCCUACUAACGGUGCCCACUGUUUC